AGGAUCAUACCGGUGGCUUUCUUGCAAGCUGUGCAGUUGUUGCCUCAGGCUUGCUGCCUCCCUUUGCCAAAACUACAACAUCAAAUAUCCAAUAGCUGUAUUGCAUGGAUGACUGAAGGGCCUUUCUGACUAGAGAGACUUCUACUAGUCACCUCCAAAACUGUGUCUUAAAGCUAUAAGAACCAGAGUUGAGAACAAAAUUACUGUUACAAAAUCUGUCUUAAAAAUCCUUUUUCUGCCUGACAUUCUUUCGAUCGAAAUACAUGCCCUGCAUCUCUGUUAUUUUCUUCAAAUGAUUUUCAUAUUCUGAUUACUCGACAGCCGACAGAAUGGAGAGCAUUGUUUCGCUAAACUUAAUUUUAGCUACGAAUAUACUAUCAUAUAUCAAUUUAAAUCUCAAACCUAUGCUAUAUUUGUACCCUCUAUUUAUUUUAUAUGCAUUUUUUAUGCAAAUUAUAACAUCUGAUCAUUACUGUCUUGCUUCUUUAAUAACUAUGGGAUUUUUUUAUGUCAAAAAUAAUGUGAGAAUAUUUAGAGAGUGGACAUCAAAACUCAAAUUCUUAAAACAUAAAUUCCCUACAUUAUACUAGUUAUAGGGUUUCCUAUAUAUACAACCUUAUGGAAACCCUAGGUAUGAUUUUAUUCUUUAUUCUAUUCUUGAAUUUCUUUCUUAUCUUCAUAUUUUACAUACGCUAAGUUGAUCAUUACAGUGAAAA